rnacentral:lncRNA from 1 species
AUGCCUGGUCCUGAUGGCUCCGGGCAGGGAAGGCCCUGGAAGAAGUUAGGAGGGCAGCACGGGCGUAGCACCAGGCAGGCAGGGCCGAGAGCUUUGCUGUGGGUGGUGGAGGCCAGGCCUGCUCAGCCAGCCGGCUGGGGCUGGGUCCAGCUUGGCCACGCUGGCACAGUGCCACGUGCGUGCGGGCUGCUUCGGAGCCCUUGGUGGGCAGGCUGGGGCCCCAUCCGAGGGCUACUGUUUCCCUUGUCCACGGGCCCCGGGGUGGGGGCGGAAACUGGGCACCGCUGGGACCAUGCGGAGCCUGCCUGGACCUCCGUGCCCUUCUGUGGGGCAGGGCCGCGACUCCGUUGCCAGCCCUCCCUGUCCUGCUUCGGACCCUCCUCCCAGAACCCAGGUCUCACCAGGGCCUCGCGGGGAACGCGGGCAGGUAUGCGAGGUGCCGAGCUCCCGGGGCUGCUGGCCUCCCGUGGGGUUCAGGGUAAGUGCGCCCAGCACCGGAUGACAGACUACAGACAUUCUCCUACUCCAUCCACCCAAGCCGGGCUGCUAGGAACCCCGGGCAGAAACAGGCUCCGGGCGCGAGGUCGCAGCCUCAGAGCUCCUCCUGAUGGCGUGUCGUGCCUUCUCGAGGGACAGCCCGUGUCUCAGUUCCAAAGCAGUGACAGCCGGGGCACCAAGGGCACGGGUGAGAUGACAGCUGCGUGUGCUGGGGCGCAGGGUCCGAUGUCAGGGGCACAGCACCCGGGAGCCGGGGGUCCUGGUCCUUGCGCCGGCAGAAGCGGAAGCUGGCUUGAGAAAGGAGGGGUGGCGCCAGGGGGCCGCCUGGGGAGGCAGGGGAAGCAAGACAGGAGGACAGAGCCUGGCCUGGCCCUUCCCACGUGCGGGAGUCCCCUUGAAGGCACCUGCGGAACCUGCUGGGACCUGCUCACCCCGCCGGGUCACGGCGGAGAGCCCAGAAGCACCCAGAGGGAACCCACAGCCCCACCCGCCCUGGGGCGGCCCUGCUUCCCUCAAGUGGGGAGCCCAGCUCAGCCUCCUGCAGCCACCGGGCCUCCCAAGGGGCACAGGCAGAGCAGGGUGUGGCCCCAACUGCAGCCCGCCGGCUCACUGUCCCCGUUUCCACCAGGGGUCUGGGCCUUGGACAAGAACUCACUCCUCAUAAACGAAGGCGACACCGGGGAGGGGACAGGGAGUGAGGACACCUAA